CAUAUAUUAAGAAAACUCAUUAAAUAUCCAUUGUUUUUUGUGAAUAACAAUUUUUCAUAAUUUUUAGCCAAUAUAAAUUCAAUAAACACCAUUAAUUUUUUUUUAAACUUACAAUUUUUCAUAAAAUCAUACAUUGAAAAAGUAAAAAAUGUAUCUUUUUGAAACAAUUUUUUUUCAGAUCAUACAUCUUUUAGGAACGGAUGGAGUAUUGUUUACGAGAAACGAUUUUAUUCCACAUAAAUGUAGAUGAAUUUAGCGAGAUACAUAUUUAACUUUUUAUUUUUAAUUUAUUUUCACUCACUUACUUUCAAUUCAGCUAUAUUCUACCAGUCUCAUCCUAUAAUAAGAAAUAUUUAGUUUUUCGGAAAAAAAUGCAAAACAAUAUCUAAAGAGAAUAAAGUCAUACUUUGGGACAGAAAAAGUUUCGGUGAUCAAUGCAAAAUAACAUGAAUAGCAGGGUAGUUUGUGAGUUGUGGUGUUAAGUAUUAUACUUUUUCAAAUUUUUGAAAUUAAAUCACACUGAAAUAAUAUAGUUUUGAUAUUAAAAUGAUUUUAUGGGCUGGAGUUGCCCUAAACAAGUGAUUGUUGAAAUUGUUUUCCACAAAUUUAAUUAAGAGUUAAAAAAAAUAUUUAAUUAAGCGUUUAUGUAUUAUUGAUAUGUAAAAUAUGAAAAGAAAUAAAGGUCUCAAUAAUACCCAGUUAUCCUUCUUAAAGGUACGCUGUGUACCUCUGGAAAGUGCGUCAACGACGCUGGUGAUGAACAUAUUAAGGUUAGCUUAACUUGAAUUAUUCGAGAAAAGGAGCUCACAAUCAUACGUUUUUGUGUUGUUUAAUGAGUUAGGUUAUGGCAAAAUACAUAUUUAAAGAUUGACUUUUUGAAAAAAUCUAUUUGGAUUGAUAUUAUCUAUUCUAUUAAAAAGGAAUCAGUUUUGAUAAAUCUACUUAUAAAGGUUGUUUGGACCCUUUUCUUUUAUUAUGUUUUGGUCUAAUCCUAUUUAUUAUAACAAACCUUAUCGACCGAAAGGACAUCAACAUUUAUUAUAACAGCAUGUGAGUUUAUUUAUCGGACAUGUAAAGAAUAUUUUUAGAAUAUGCCAUCGUAUGGUCCUGGACAAAUCGUUAUAUUUAAUUAAAUGAGAUUAUUAUCUUACCGAAAAACGCCAUCGUAUAUCUUAUAUAAGCAAUAAUAUAGCUUUAUAAUAACUACAGAUUAAAUCCCUUUCAUAUAUUUGCUUUUAUAUUUUUAUAUUUUGAUAGUUAAUAUAUAUAGAUAUAUAUAUAUAUAUAUAUAUAUAUAUAUAUAUAUAUAUAGUUGUGUGAAACAAUCUUUCCAAUACCAACAGAUAUAUUUACACUUCAUAAUUCCUACACUAUUAAACAAACAAACAUCAUUUUUAAAAACAUUUCAACAAAAUUUCAAAAACGCAGAUGCUUGAUCACAUCAAUAUAAAUCAUGAUGACUCUAAUCUUAAAAAAAUUAUAUGAAGACAAAAUAAAAAUUAAUUUAAACUUUUAUUUUUGCCAGAAAAAAAUCCGCGCUUUCUAAGGGCGGAUCAAAAUCUAGUUAUUAUAUAAAAAUAUAUACGGCUUGCAGAUACUUAAAACGGACUAUCAAUAUAUAGUCUAUGCAAGUGUGUCGAUCGUAUAUAGGCAAAAUAUUAAUAUUGAUAUAUUCUUAGUCACAGUUUUCUUUCAAAAAAAAAUCAAUAAUCAUAUCAGGCCACAUAGUUAUCAAGUUAAAAAAAGUUUCUGCGAUUGUAGAUCAUGUCAUCUCUCUGAGAACUCCUACACUUGGAUGCUAACGCAUUUCGAUCCUACUCAAGGCCCGGAAGACGUAGAAUUUCGUACUGACUAAAUGACUAGUGAGUAGUAAAUGUUGACAAAAAAAUAAAAUGACUAGUGAGUAGUGACUCAUUCAUGUAAGCUACAGAUACGAGCGUCAAACGUUAAAUAUAUGAUUUUGUAUUGGUGUGUUAUCAAAAUAUGGACGUUAUUACCUUAUAUUUAUCUAAUCAAAUGUUAAGAUAAAAACUUAUACUAAUCUUUUAUCGGAAUGUGAAAUAUAUAUAGGUUAGAGAAGAGACAUAAUUUUUACAUUUUUGUUUUGGUCAAGAGACAAGUUAUUUUAAAUUGCAAAUAUUUUAAGUGAAGUGGAGGUGGGGUGGGCGGUGAGCUAGCAAGUGAUUGUCACACUUUGUCAUGUAGCGAAGACAAAUCUCAAUAAAUAUUACCAUGUUCAGUUAAUAAGCUACUACUAAUUAAAUGUAAUUAGGGAACCCUCAAAUUAUGGCCGAGUCACGAAUUCCUUUCCACACUUCCUCACGACCCUAUUGCCGGCCAAUUAUAUAUGUACGUCAAGCCCUUUUUGGUUUGUUAAAUACAACCAUGUUGGGUUUGCAAAUGCAUUGCAUAAUAAAAUUAGAUUGGCUAAUCUCACUAUUAAUUAAAUUUAUUAGGUUAAACAACGUUUAAAAACCGUGCUUGUCGCGAAACCGUUGUCCGCAAUCAAGUUUUCUUAUGAUAAAAAUAUCUGAGAACCAGUUCACUGCUAUGACUAUUAAAGAUGUAGACAUGGGUCGUAAUGGUUCAUAUAAAUAAUUGUAAACUUUAUAUACAUGAUUUUUUAUGUCAUUGUUUAAUUUGUGGAAAAACUUCGACAAACUACACAUAUUCCCAUGAGAUAGUAAUGUUAUAAGUUUUGUUAUUCCCUUAUAUUCGGUGUCAUGAAUGCAGAGUUUGAACCGUAACGUUCGGUUCCAUAUAAAAUACUUUAUAUACUUCAUGAGAGAAUUCAUCAAUCUUAUAGAUUGUAUGAAUAUUGAAUUCAUUAUAUACCAUUUGCUAGGAUGUUGUUUCAUUAGAAAUGUUGAAUACAACUACAUUAUUUGUAAUAUGUAUAAUUAUCCAUGUGGAAAUAAAAAUAUUUAUCCAUAAAGAAUAUUAAUACUAGGAAGACAAAAAAAAAUUCGUUGGAUAUAGUGUUUCUUAGAUUUCCAUAGUACGGCAACAGUAAGAAUGAUCUACAUGUUACAAAAGGUUUUGAGAAACCAAGUAGAAUGUAAGAUUCAUUCUGAAAAAACAUAAAAUGACAAAAAGAAAUACGAAAGGUAUACUUUAUAACCAUUCUAAUUUUUUUUGGGAGCAAAUAUAACCAUUCUAAUUAAGUUUUUUUUCUCAAAGGAGAGCAGAAGAAAGAACUAAAGUGAAUGUACAGUGUAUAUAGUUCAUUUGCCUGACCCCGUAUUUUAAGGGACAACAGGCAGCUAAAUUUAAAUAUAAGUUUGGCUACAUUAGUCGGGGAAAAAAAUCAAAAACUUUUUGGAGCUAGAAAACUCAUAGCACAGGGAUGAUAGACUAAAAAGCUUUUCAGUUUUACCAGGAAACCUGGAACCAUUGGUCUGUAAUCGUUGUUUUGGAACAGGCAUGAAAUUGACCUUUUACUAUCACUAGUAUUUUGUAAUUACAUAUCAACAAAUGAAAGUUGUUUAUUUAUUGCCGAAAUUUAAAUUCAAUAAUCAACUCCGUUUGUGUAACUUGUCAACACAAAUCCAAAUAAAGGUUUGACUCUGACUUGAGAAAAGGCAGAGAGUAACAUAUGAGUAAGUGGAUGUUGACUGUUAUGUCUAUUCUCAUUGUAUUUCUUCAAAUAAAUGGAGGGACGAAAGAAAAAUAACCUAAGCAGACAAAUAAGCAAAUAAUAGAUUAAAACAUCACAAGAAUUGAGGAAAUAAACAACUGAUAUACAAUUCGAAACUUAUAUUCAACUAGUUUUCACGUAUGUCAUUUAAACAUUCGGAUUCGCCAUUCAUAUCGCAUGCUGCGUUGGUCAGCAUAUAAAGUUCCAUGUUCGUUCAAAACAAGUAGCAUUCAGUCUAGUAGUCUUCUGUAAGAUGUAAGAUUACUUAAGUGAGAUUAUGUUGUCUAAUUAACUUUCACCACUGUCCAAAAAAGCUGACAUUUUAACAGUGGAGUAAACAAAGAACAUGUUGAUCCAACGAUUUUGUGGGGACGUGGGGAUUUAUAUAAAAUUGACAUAUACAUACAUACAUUUGAGAUUUAUUUAUUUUGUUUUUGCAUUCUAAGUUUAUAAUUUCGCAACUUGGAAAGAAGAAGAGCCCUAUUGCAGUAUUUGAGCAAAAGACACGUCGUUUUCUGGAAUUAGACAAAUCAUAUUCACGUUGUAACUUGCCUUAUCUGUCCCCUUCCUAUUGUAAUCUCUGCCACCUACCUGUUCCUCCUCCAAAACACAAUCACGACAAAACAAUGUUUCAAUUUUGGCUGACUCAGAAAAAUGCUAUUUCAGCAAAGUAGCAAGUAUCGAGAUACAAAUAAUUACUUUGUUAUUGGAUUUAGAAAUAAAAUAAAAAUAAUUAGUCUAAAACCCAUUCUAGUGACCAUAUUAGCCUGGUUUGUUCAGUCAUUGCAAUCUCCCAUUGUGAAUUGUGAUAUUCUAAUGCGAUUGCAAAUCAUAAUAACUUGUUAUUCACAGCUAAAAAAAUUAACGAAUAUAUUUUAAAUUUCUACGAUUCCAUGACUAAAUUGGAAGAUACUAACUCGGAGGUUUUCUUUCAUUCAUUCCUUAGAACUGGUCUUUGGUUCUCAAAACCGGGUUUGAGGCAAUUUCAUUCAGUUGUUCGGGUUGUUCUGCAUCUCUUGGUGUUCUCGGUUGCAGAGCUUCUUAGGCAACUGUCCUACCGGCUACCGCUAUCCCAGACCGUCUUUGGUUCAUUGCUGGUGGAGGUGUUGCCGCGUUGGAGGCGAGUGUAUAGUUGGAUUCUUCGCAUGCACUUCGAUUUGUGUCUCUCAACCUUUCUCUCCUCUAUUUCAUCUUGCCUUCAAUAAUGCUAAUGGUUACAAACUUAAACGAGCUCAUCAAGAACUAGAUACUCUAGAGAUGUCACGGGAAAAUUUUGGCAUCGAGUAAACGAGGUGAAUUUCUCAUUUUCGUGGCUACUGUCAAAGGAUUGUAGUUGAUACUCAAGGAUACUAAAUUCGGUCUAAUGGUACGCACUGAGCAUAUGAGUCGAGCAAAGUUAGAUAGGAAAUAGUUGGAAAUGUGCAAUUUUGUGUAAGUCUGUUUGUAAUCAGAUCUUUAUCCAUGUUUUCAGGUUCAAUGAAUCUACAUUAUUUUAUUUU